AUUGAACGCUGGCGGCAGGCCUAACACAUGCAAGUCGAACGGUAACAGAAAGCAGCUUGCUGCUUUGCUGACGAGUGGCGGACGGGUGGGUAAUGUCUGGGAAACUGCCUGAUGGAGGGGGAUAACUACUGGAAACGGUAGCUAAUACCGCAUAACGUCGCAAGACCAAAGAGGGGGACCUUCGGGCCUCUUGCCAUCGGAUGUGCCCAGAUGGGAUUAGCUAGUAGGUGGGGUAACGGCUCACCUAGGCGACGAUCCCUAGCUGGUCUGAGAGGAUGACCAGCCAAACCGGAACUGGGACACGGUCCAGACUCCCACGGGAGGCAGGAGUGGGGAAUAUUGGACAAUGGGCGCAAGCCUGAUGCAGCCAUGCCGCGUGUAUGAAGAAGGCCUUCGGGUUGUAAAGUACUUUCAGCGGGGAGGAAGGGAGUAAAGUUAAUACCUUUGCUCAUUGACGUUACCCGCAGAAGAAGCACCGGCUAACUCCGUG
rnacentral:rRNA from 1 species